UACGGGGGGGGCAAGCGUUGUUCGGAAUUACUGGGCGUAAAGGGCUCGUAGGCGGCCAACUAAGUCAGACGUGAAAUCCCUCGGCUUAACCGGGGAACUGCGUCUGAUACUGGAUGGCUGGAGUUUGGGAGAGGGAUGCGGAAUUCCAGGUGUAGCGGUGAAAUGCGUAGAUAUCUGGAGGAACACCGGUGGCGAAGGCGGCAUCCUGGACCAACACUGACGCUGAUGAGCGAAAGCUAGGGGAGCAAACGGG
rnacentral:rRNA from 1 species